GAGUUUGAUCCUGGCUCAGGAUGAACGCUAGCGAUAGGCUUAACACAUGCAAGUCGAGGGGCAGCACGGGUGGCAACACUGGGUGGCGACCGGCGCACGGGUGAGUAACACGUAUGCGACCUGCCCGUAACUGGGGGAUAACCCGUCGAAAGGCGGACUAAUACCGCAUGAAGAUGGAAGCCUGCAUGGGUUUUCAUCCAAAGAUUAAUCGGUUACGGAUGGGCAUGCGUUCCAUUAGGCAGUUGGAGGGGUAACGGCCCACCAAACCUACGAUGGAUAGGGGUUCUGAGAGGAAGGUCCCCCACACUGGUACUGAGACACGGACCAGACUCCUACGGGAGGCAGCAGUGAGGAAUAUUGGUCAAUGGGCGAGAGCCUGAACCAGCCAAAUCGCGUGAAGGAAGAAGGUAUUAUGUAUUGUAAACUUCUUUUAUCGGGGAAUAAAGUGCGCCACGCGUGGCGUUUUGUAAGUACCCGAGGAAUAAGGAUCGGCUAACUCCGUGCCAGCAGCCGCGGUAAUACGGAGGAUCCGAGCGUUAUCCGGAUUUAUUGGGUUUAAAGGGUGCGUAGGCGGGCGUUCAAGUCAGCGGUGAAAGUUCGGGGCUCAACUCCGGAAUUGCCGUUGAAACUGGAUGCCUUGAGUGUAGAUGAGGUGGGUGGAAUUCGUGGUGUAGCGGUGAAAUGCAUAGAUAUCACGAAGAACUCCGAUUGCGUAGGCAGCUCACUGGGCUACAACUGACGCUGAGGCACGAAGGUGCGGGGAUCAAACAGGAUUAGAUACCCUGGUAGUCCGCACAGUAAACGAUGAAUACUAGCUGUUUGCGAUACACAGUAAGCGGCACAGCGAAAGCGUUAAGUAUUCCACCUGGGGAGUACGCCGGCAC
rnacentral:rRNA from 1 species